AUUGAUUCUAUGAUGUCCGAUUAGCCAGUGGGAUAAAAGCAAAGUCCUCUCUGCAUGGCUGGUGUGACGUGCUUUAAUAGUAAAGGACACUCAGCCUCGGGCUCUGACUGCCCUGCUCCAAGCAAUUUGUCCUGAAUUGAUACUCUCAGUAGUGUCCUGCCAGAGGCCGCAUUGUUACAGGAGUCGUCCAGGAUUACAACUGGGAACUCUCCGAAGCUCAGGAUGUGCUCCCUCAGCUAGGGGAAGUAUGUAACCCACACACCUCCAGGGUGUGGUGGUGUGUCCCAGCUAGUGGCACCAAGAUCACUUAGAGGGAGAGAUAAAGCGAGUCUUCUCUACAGUCUUAGCUGGCAGCCAGGUGGCUUUUAGUUCAUACUGUAGAGGCCCACGCACUAAGCUCCUGAGUUCCCAGUUCGAUCCUACCCACCGACAAGUCACCGACCGGAUCUGUCAGCAAAUCAGAGACAGCUGCCAUCCCAAGAAGGAGAAAGCUGCCUUGCCCAGCCGAGAAGAGGUGUCAAGCAGUAAGCUGAUACCCUUUGGAGCUUCCUGUGAUAAACUGCAAACUUUGGACAAUAGCAGGGUGGAAGGAAGUGUUGCCCUCAGAGUGGCCUGGGUCAGAGCCCAUGGGAGGCCCUGGGCUCCUCUACCAUCUGCUGCACCCUCCCACCCCGAAGGACCAAAACCCUGACCACUAGGCAACAUCCCCUUGAGCAAAGGCCAUCACGAGGCAUCUGUCUUCGAAACUUUGCAGAGGAUGAGGGGCAGAAAAUGGCAGA